GCUCGCUUCGGCAGCAUACACUAAAACUGGAACGGUACAGAGAAGAUUAGCAUGGCCCCUGAGCAAGGAGGACACGCAGAUUUGUUCAUUGUUUUGUUGUUGU
ensembl:snRNA U6 U6 spliceosomal RNA